AGACUUUCUGUUAGCGGAACGCCCUUACUCGUCUCUCUCUCUCUCUCAUCUCGCCAUCUAUUUGUCGCCGGCAUCCAUGGCGCCACUGUAUAACUCCUUGUUCAUGUGCUUGAUUCAGCUUUACGAAGUAAAGGCCGAAGGGGAAAGUCAUUUUGCCACUUUUUGGCCUUUAAGUUUCCUGCAGCUGCAUGAGUAAGUGGAGUAUUGUCAUGCACCAGGUUCAUCUCUAGACUUCCAAGACGUGAGGAUCCGGUUGAGGCUGGUUCUCUAGUCCACCCCAAGCUUUAUGUUUGGCAGUAAAGUAUUUAUGGGAUGAUCAAAACAUUGCCAAACAACCACACUACUCCCUGUAUUACGUUCGAAUUUGCUGAAUCCAUGAGCCAACCUGAAUGAGAUCUAGUUUCUGCUGCUGGAACAUUUGUCUCCAGAGUAUAACACUAAAGUUACGGUCUUGGAUGACAAGAUUUCCAUUCUGGUUGAGGAAUAUAACUCCAGAGGUUCCAUUGACUUGUUUUAUGGCAACCCAAACAACUGUUGCUCUGAGAUCAUGUUGUACCAAAUUCCUAUAUAUCGGAAAUUUCUUGGACAAUAAAUCCAAAGUGCAAAGAUCUCACUAUUGGACACCAAUAGGUCCUCAUCUUUGGUUUGGAAUUAUGGUGUCAAUGGAAAAGCAAAUUACGAGUAACAGAAAUGAGACGAAUAACUUGAAACCCCAUUUUCCAGAAACCAUGUUUGGGUUUGCAGUGUACCCUGUCUGUUAGCUGUUGAAAUAGAGAACACAAGUGAAGAACACAUAACAUCCUUGUGAAAAGAAAAAAACAACUUCAACCAGUUUGAUUUCUUAUGUUUUUGACAUGUAAAUUGUCCCCAAAAUAGUUGAACACAAACUCCAUAGGCCCAAUGGAAAAGGGUUCCAACAGGAUUUGUCUUGCUGGAUUUAGG